rnacentral:rRNA from 1 species
UACAGAGGUCCCAAGCGUUGUUCGGAUUCAUUGGGCGUAAAGGGUGCGUAGGCGGCGCGGUAAGUCGGGUGUGAAAUCUCGGGCUUAACUCCGAAACUGCAUUCGAUACUGCCGUGCUUGAGGACUGGAGAGGAGACUGGAAUUACGGUGUAGCGGUGAAAUGCGUAGAUAUUGUAAGGAAGACCAGUGGCGAAGGCGGGUCUCUGGACAGUUCCUGACGCUGAGGCACGAAGGUCAGGGAGCGAACGGG